rnacentral:rRNA from 1 species
UACGGGGGGGGCAAGCGUUGUUCGGAAUUACUGGGCGUAAAGGGUUUGUAGGUGGCUUGUUAAGUCAGACGUGAAAUCCCUCAGCUUAACUGGGGAACUGCGUCUGAUACUGAGUGGCUUGAGUGCAGGAGAGGAAUGCGGAAUUCCAGGUGUAGCGGUGAAAUGCGUAGAUAUCUGGAGGAACACCGGUGGCGAAGGCGGCAUUCUGGACUGUAACUGACACUGAGGAACGAAAGCCAGGGGAGCAAACGGG